GACGAACGCUGGCGGCGUGCUUAACACAUGCAAGUCGAACGGAAAGGCCCCUUUGGGGGUACUCGAGUGGCGAACGGGUGAGUAACACGUGAGUAACCUGCCCUUGACUUCGGGAUAACUUCAGGAAACUGGGGCUAAUACCGGAUAGGAAUCCUUGCUGCAUGGUGGGGGUUGGAAAGCUUCGGCGGUUUUGGGUGGACUCGCGGGUUAUCAGCUUGUUGGUGGGGUAGUGGCUUACCAAGGCUUUGGCGGGUAGCCGGCCUGAGAGGGCGACCGGCCACAAUGGGACUGGGGGACGGCCCAGACUCCUACGGGAGGCAGCAGGGGGGAAUAUUGCACAAUGGGCGGAAGCCUGAUGCAGCAACGCCGCGUGCGGGAUGACGGGCUUCGGGUUGUAAACCGCUUUCAGCAGGGGCGAAGCUUGUGGUGACGGUACCUGCAGAAGAAGCACCGGCUAACUACGUG
rnacentral:rRNA from 1 species